GGUCGUGUGGCUGAGAGGCAAAGCAAAGACCAGCAAAGUCUUUUACGGCGGUUCGAAUCCGCCCGUGACCGCAA
rnacentral:tRNA from 1 species